GACGAACGCUGGCGGCGUGCUUAACACAUGCAAGUCGAACGAAGAGCGAUGGAAGCUUGCUUCUAUCAAUCUUAGUGGCGAACGGGUGAGUAACGCGUAAUCAACCUGCCCUUCAGAGGGGGACAACAGUUGGAAACGACUGCUAAUACCGCAUACGAUCCAAUCUCGGCAUCGGGACUGGAUGAAAGGUGGCCUCUAUUUAUAAGCUAUCACUGAAGGAGGGGAUUGCGUCUGAUUAGCUAGUUGGAGGGGUAACGGCCCACCAAGGCGAUGAUCAGUAGCCGGUCUGAGAUGAUGGACGGCCACAUUGGGACGGAGACACGGCCCAGACUCCUACGGGAGGCAGCAGGGGGGAAUCUUCCGCAAUGGACGAAAGUCUGACGGAGCAACGCCGCGUGAGUGAUGACGGCCGUCGGGUUGUAAAGCUCUGUUAAUCGGGACGAAUGGUUCUUGUGCGAAUAGUGCGAGGAUUUGACGGUACCGGAAUAGAAAGCCACGGCUAACUACGUG
rnacentral:rRNA from 1 species